UCUCAAACUUAUGCGACAUCAUAUAUUUGGGCAAAUGAUCCAACCGUCCAAGAAGCUCUUCAUAUUAAAAAGGUACUUCUGAUACAAAAUUGUUGAAGAUCCAUUGCACUUUAUAAGGGUUAAUCUUUUAUUUUGAUUGCCAGGGAACAAUAACGGAUUGGACGAGAUGCAAUCACAGCUUAUCCUAUGCACAUAAUAUAGGAAGUGUUGUUCAAUAUCAUAAAAUUCUCAGCAGGAAAGGAUAUGAAGCUUUGGUUUAUAGGUAGUCAUAUUCAUUGUUUUUUUUUUUUUUAAACAUAGUGACUUAAUUUGUUCUGAGUUUAUUCUAGUCCAUCAACUAAGAUAAUAGUUGUUUCACAAGUCAUGGUAAAAGUAUUAAUCGAAAAACCUAACUCUACAAAUUUGUAAAUUAGAUUUAAUAUUUUUCAAUUGUUUGUGUUCUUUCCAGUGGUGAUCAUGACAUGGUCAUACCUUAUAUGGGUACUUUAAAAUGGAUUCAUGGUCUCAAUCUAACAAUAGAUGACGAGUGGAGACCUUGGAAUGUUAACGGCCAAGUUGCAGGGUUGGUUUCCAAUUCUUUAUCACUUCCAUUCACACGCAUAUAUAUUGCAUCUUAUUAAUUAAUCUCCAAAUCUCAUUUACAUUUUAUUUUGUAGAUACACAAGGAAAUACAAGAAGAAUGACUUCUAUCUCACAUUCGUAACUGUGAAGGUAAGAAAAUUUCAAUAUGCUCUUUCUCAUAGUGAUUAACAGAAAAGGAAGUAAACAUUUGUUAUAUAUUGCAGGGUGCAGGUCAUACGGCUCCUGAAUAUAACCCUGAACAAUGUCUUGCAAUGCUUGACCGAUGGCUCUCUUUAUAUCCUUUAUAGGUUUGGGUUGAUGGCGAAGUUUUAAGGGUUCAUCUAUUACAUCUUUUUAACAAGGUAUUGUCGUUAUAUAUUCUGUAAUUGUUUAUUCAGUUAAUAAAACCAAUGUAAUAUGAUAAUCAUACAGAA
rnacentral:lncRNA from 1 species